CACACACACACACUCGCGCGCACGCACACACUCUCACACACACACAGCGCUGGUAGUUUGCACUCGCUCUGUUCAGUGUUUGGCCACAGGGCACGCGCGUCGCCAGCCAGACCAGCACCCAGCUCACGUGCGGAACGUACCAUCCGCGGUCCAGACUGGGGGGAGGGGGGAAAGAAAGAAGGGGAGGAAGGGCAAGAAAGAUGUGGAAGGAGGGAAAAACUGUAAAGGGACGGAGGACGAGAAGAAAAUGAAAGAAGAGGCUGGGGCACCUGAUUAUGGCUACCAGAAAAGAAAAAUAACUUUGGCCAAGCCAUUCGUAUUCUAAAAGACGGGGACGUGAAGGCAGGGGGAGGCGGUGGAGGACGGGGUGCGGGGAAGUCAGGGUUUCCUCCCGCAAGGAAAUACGACUCCUUGGACCCGUCAUUACGGUGCAUUAACAUGGCUUGGGCUGUCCUACCACCGCCUGCUCCGCUCUCCCGGACCUAAGAACGAGCUUUGGCGAAGGUUCCCUGGAGAACACCGGGGGAGGGGAGGGAACACUGGAGGAUGCCACCAGAGGGAAUACACCACGGAAAAACUGCAAAAUUAAUAAUUUCCUAUCUAAACUCUGCUGCCUUUCAAGCCCUGGGUGUCAUCAUGUUCCUUAGCCCUUCUCCUCCCCCUUCUCUUCACGAACACUGGAAGUGUGCACAGCCCACGUUUUACAACCUCUGGCACCUAAAAAGCCUCUUUCCUUAAGCCUGUCUCAAACUGGUACAAGCACAGGGCUAGCAACGUGAUCCGACCGGCUGCUGCCACAUCACUGUACUGGGAGCCCGUGCUGGGCUCGCCUCCGCUCCCGCCGCCGUAGCUGCUGCCGCCGCCUCCCCUGCUGUACUCCAGAGAGAGGGGGGAGAAAAAAAGUCUGGAGCACAGAGUUUGAGCCGAAUUACCUUUUCCCUAGAGCGAUCCCCAAGAAAAUGGCUCAGUGCUAGUGAAAGUAACCGGGAUUUGCAUGAAGUUGUUGAGCAGCGGCGAUUGGGAAGGGAGCAAGUACUGAAAGGGAGAAGAACACCUUGGAAUUGGGGGUUCUAAAUCGAACUCUAUCCCCCACCUCCACCCCACCCCGGCUAUUACUACCGAGGACAGAAACUCUAUGAAAACUACUCAAGGAUUCUUCCUUUCGGCUUCCAGUGUAAUGUUUACAUUUUCCCCAGGGUUAUCUCCGAAGAAAUUAAUCAUUGCCAGGGAACCAGGAUGAAAGCUGAGUGUAGGAGCAAGCGGAAGAAGGGAAGACUGCUGCUUUUCCUACCUCCCUACUCCGCUCGGUGUAUGAAUUGCAGGGACAAGAUCUGGGUCGCUGGAAGCUGCGCCUGGAUGGAAAUCACGUGCCUGCAGCAACUUAUUUUUUUUUUUUUUCACCUCAAGAAGCUGCGGCUGCCAUCGAAACUGCUGCUGCAGUCACCCAACCUCAGUGAAGAAGAAACCAGCUGGCUUGAUAACCACGGUGGCAGUAGGGCUUCAAUCAAGACCACCCUUGUUUGAGAAAAUUAUUUUAUGGAUUUGGUUAAUUUGUCUUAAGGUGGUUUUUUUUUUUUAAUAAUUCUGAAGGUUUAUUAAAAAACAAAAAAACUAUACUUGAGAAACUUGGUAACCUUUUCAUUCACCAGCUUGUCCCCUUACCCCUCCUCCCUCAGAAAAAUCCUAAGUGGUUUGGUGAUAAAUUAUAUUUUGGGCUUCAAUUAAUUUUUUUGUCGUCAUAAUUACUACGUUAUAAAAGAAACUGAAGUAUUGCAUAAAUUUUUCUUGCCAAAUAAAUUCUUAGUAAAGGUU